rnacentral:ncRNA from 2 species
GAUCAUAAAGGGAAUGGGACUUCCCUGUUAUAAACCGCUACCAUACAUAGCUGAUAGUUCCUACUUAACU